rnacentral:lncRNA from 1 species
CCGGGAGAGGUGCUGCCCAGAGCAGGAGCCCCGGGCGGGGGGCCAAAGCUAUGUGACCUCAUAGCCAGCCCCUGAGGACAGCAGAAGGAGCCUUAGCCAAGACUCAGUUCCAUGUCUGCCUGGAAUCCCAGAGCUAAUCAUGGGCCAGAAGGAGACCAGAGCCCCACUUUGCAGGUGCCGGGGAGAAGAGAGUGGGCAGGGAGCCAGAGGGAAGGCCCGGAGGGAGCCCCAUCCUCCCUGCCACCUGCUGGCCCUGACCCUACAGGGAGGGAGCUGACCCCAAUGUCCGAGGGCCCCUUCCCAGCACCAGCAUCGAUGCUACGGUUCUCCGGUUACUUGGUCACACUUGCAGCUGCUUCUCUUCCUGGCUGCACAAAGGGAGAGCUUGCUGAAUCCUUGGGAUGCAGGAAUUCCAGGAGCAAGUACCCAACUAUUACAGACCUCCACCGGUUACUAAGCAGGGCCUUUGGAGAUACAUUUCUAAUAACCCAGAUAGAGUGAAGAGCAGAGGUGUCCUUGGGGGUGAUCUCAGGGACACCAGAAGAUCCCUGCUUCUAAAACACCUCCACCACCUUCCUGGUGAUGAGUGAAUGAGGAAAAAUCUUGUCUACAGAGAGAGCACUUCCCAAGUGUCUGUUGACUACAAGUUGCUAAUAAUCAGUUUUUUCUCAAGAUUAAGUUUCUGAUGAAGGAAAAAAGGGGAAGAAAGAUGGGGGCCUGUAACUUUGAUUGGAGAGGAAAGAAAGAAAUUCGGGAGGGAGAAGGAAAGCUGUGCUGUUGCAGGUCCAUCCACGUUAGGGUCUUGGGGACAGGACAGCUCAGCAUGUGCAGCUGCCACUGAGGCUCGGGUGCCCAGAUCACUGGGGGGAUGUCAGCACACCUGGCUGGGUCUUUUUGGGUCCUUCCUCAGAGUCAUUCAGCUGGCAAAUCAGAGGGCAGCAGGGAGCCCUGUCCCCCCUUCCCAACACUUAUAAACCAAUAAUCCAGCGUUGAGUCUGGUGAAGGUGGGGAGAGUGGUGUUUGCUCUGGUUGCUCCUGUGGCAAAAGCCUAUACUAAGGUGUUCAGCAGCUUUAUUUUGGUGAUUUGUGUACAAUUAUAUCCAUCCCUUGGGUUUGUA